CUCCUACGGGGGGCAGCAGUGGGGAAUAUUGCACAAUGGGGGAAACCCUGAUGCAGCGACGCCGCGUGGGUGACGAAGUAUUUCGGUAUGUAAAGCCCUAUCAGCAGGGAAGAAGAUGACAGUACCUGACCAAGAAGCCCCGGCUAAAUACGUGCCAGCAGCCGCGGUAAUACGUAUGGUGCAAGCGUUAUCCGGAUUUACUGGGUGUAAAGGGAGCGCAGGCGGUGCGGCAAGUCUGAUGUGAAAGCCCGGGGCUCAACCCCGGGACUGCAUUGGAAACUACCGAACUGGAGUGUCGGAGAGGG
rnacentral:rRNA from 1 species